UACGGAGGGUGCAAGCGUUGUCCGGAAUCACUGGGCGUAAAGGGCGCGUAGGCGGCUCAUGGAAGGCUGUGGUGAAAGUCCGGGGCUCAACCUCGGAUCGGCCGUGGCGACUCGUGGGCUGGAGCACUGUAGAGGCGGGUGGAAUUCCGGGUGUAGCGGUGGAAUGCGUAGAGAUCCGGAAGAACACCAGUGGGCGAAGGCGGCCCGCUGGGCAGUGGCUGACGCUGAGGAGCGAAAGCAUGGGGGAGCGAACAGG
rnacentral:rRNA from 1 species